GGCGGUUUGUCCGAGUGGUUAAGGAGUUGGACUUGAAAUCCAAUGGGCUCUGCCCGCGCAGGUUCGAACCCUGCAGCCGUCG
rfam:Toxoplasma gondii VEG unplaced genomic scaffold scaffold00009, whole genome shotgun sequence.